AGGAAGUGACUGUAGGUUUAGAUGAAUGGAAAAUGAACUUGCCAGUUCACAGCUAUGUCCUUCCCAAUUUAGGAGGUUAAGGGCAGGAAAAACAUGAGAAACUCUUUUGAGAAGCUGCACAAGCUGACAUGGAGGAUCAAGGAUUUCAAAAGCUUUGAAUAUAAAGAGGUGUCAGACUUACAUCAGAGCCUGAGACUUGACAUGCCUAUUUUUGCACUCGCUCAUUUUUCAAAUUUCAUAGGCAUUGCUCCCUCCAAAUCACCGCUCUUCUAAUUUUAUCCUGGAGUGUGCAUCCCAGAAGACAUAAGCUGACACAAUUGGGAACUGAAGUUGCUUGAAAAAGCUGGUGGUAAGAUUAGGUAAAAUAAUUGUGUUACCACCUUCUGAAUGGCAAUCAAUAUUGCAUCCUAAGUAGCAUGUUUGGUUGGGUGCAGAUAGUUUUUGAAACUAGGUGGUGACCCAACUUACAAAUAUGUCACCAGUGGUGACCUAGGAAAACAGACUGAUAUAAGGGAAAGCUCUUCUCAGUGAGAUGAUUUAGACAUUUGAAAGGGCAAGGGCAAUGAAUGGGGUAUGCAUGUUAGGAUAAUGAAAUUAACUUCUAAAGCCUAAGGUGUAUUGAGAUACCACAAAGAAAUGAUAAAAAAAAAAAAAA
ensembl:lncRNA LINC01684 long intergenic non-protein coding RNA 1684